rnacentral:rRNA from 1 species
UGGGGAAUAUUGGGCAAUGGGCGCAAGCCUGACCCAGCAACGCCGCGUGAAGGAAGAAGGCUUUCGGGUUGUAAACUUCUUUUGUCAGGGACGAGGAGAAGACGGUACCUGACGAAUAAGCCACGGCUAACUACGUGCCAGCAGCCGCGGUAAUACGUAGGUGGCAAGCGUUGUCCGGAUUUACUGGGUGUAAAGGGCGUGUAGGCGGAGAUGCAAGUUGGGAGUGAAAACCAUGGGCUCAACCCAUGAACUGCUUUCAAAACUGUAUCCCUUGAGUAUCGGAGAGGCAAGCGGAAUUCCUAGUGUAGCGGUGAAAUGCGUAGAUAUUAGGAGGA